ensembl:lncRNA
UUUAAUUUAUAAAGUUUUAUUUUUGUAUAUGUGCUAAAUCUUAGGAACUGUGGACAAUCUUCAGUCUGUUGGCUUGUAAAAGGCUGAGAAGUAUGUGAUCUGGGUGGUGAGAUUUCCUUUUAGGAAUCUGGAUUUCAAAAUGCAAAAAAAUUUUUCACUCAUUUGCAAGUUUAAAACAUGGUGCACCUUUCCCCCUUUUUUCUUAGACCUAUAAAUUCGGAGGAAAAGUGCUACAUUUCUGCAGACGUAAAAUAAUCUAAAAUAAUUGUAAAUACAAUCGGCAGCAAGUUGUUAAUACAUUUAGCACUUCCGUAGUGAUUUACCACACCCAAAACCUUAUUUUCAAACACUAAACACUCACAUAGGCGCAGGCCCUAUUUUAGUUGAGCCCCACUAGGAAACCAGUACUGAACGUUUGUUUUAAAAUCAGUAACACAAAAACUGGAGGGAGAGGAGCCGUGUUUACUUUCUCGGCAGUAUGUAAUACCUUCAAACUAGAGACCAAAAUUGGGCACUUAUGAAAAGGCAAUUUUAAAAAAAUCCAGUUAUAAUUCUAAAUAAGGCAGGAUAUAUCCACCAAAAUUAACCACAAGAUUCAGCAAAGUAAGAGUUCCAGCUGGAAAAAUAAGAAAAAAAUGGAACUAUUUUGGAGUAGUCAUCUGAGUAUUCACAGACUUGCUUUCAUUUAUAAAUGUAAUUCAAAUAAAAAAGGCUCCUCAUCUUUUUAACCCACUACUAGGGUUAAAUACUUAAAUUGUUAUCAUUCACUAAUAAAAGUUAAUCAUGAAAAAAAUAGAAAACAUUUUCAUAAUUCUAAAUUUGUACACAUAACAGCUGAAAGACAAGGCUGGGAAAUUAUCAUUGAGAGAAAAAUCAAUGAAGACAAAAAUCCCAAAUAUGAGGAUGUUCUUAUUUCUGCCUUGACAAUGCUGAACAUGAAAAUUUGGUUGGUAGAGGGCUUAGAAACAGCAGCAGUAUGGUUUUUGCCAAGUUGUGCAAUGAAAUACUUAGAUCCAAUAGGGCAAAGCCCUUGUUCACAGAGAUUAACAAUGCAAGUAUCUUCAGUCUUUAUGUUAACAGAUUCUACUGUCUCCCAAAAAGUAACCAUGCCAUUUAGAAUUUUCAGGGGUACUUCUCUGAAAGGAAGACUAGUGAUUCUGCAACAAACAUUUAAAGUGGGAAAUAUAUAUAUGGCUCAAGAAAUCAGUUGAGGGAGAAUUAAAUAAUCUGUAGGCACUUUGAAGACUUGAAGUUUAAAAUGUGCCAUUUGUGUUCAGAAAAAGACCUCAAAAUCACUGCUAUGUUGCUCUUACAAUAACAUGCAUCUUAAAAUUUUCAGUUAUACAUUAAUGCUUGCUUAAGAGUUAAAUAGAGAAAAUAAUUUGCACAAACAAAAUUAACUCUUUCCAUUCACUUUCCCUAGAUCCUGAUCACAGCACAGACCACUCUUCCUCAAGUGGAGGGGGAAAGGAUUCACAAGCCCUCAAAGCAGCCAAGGUGGGAUCUCCCUCCAAGGAGAAAAAUUCACAGCCUUUUAAAAUGUCAAGUUUUCACAUCUAGAAGUCAUUCGUUUUUAAAUUAAGUAUAUUACAUACUUUUGUUAAGGACCAGAAGACACACAAAUCACCUCAGAUGGUUAGAUGGUGCAAUUUAUGAUAGCAAGUUGUUCAAAUAAAUUUAACCUAUUUUUGCUCAUUGUUAAGGAAACUUGGAAUUGAGGAACUUCUAAAUUCAAGUUACCAAUUGGAAUUGCAGAUAGUGUGUAUGACUUUGGCUCACACUUAAACUCAUAUGUAAUAUACUUAAGGUAAAAAGAGGCUCUAUCUGGUGUCAAAUUUUCCUAAUGUUACAGAAAACCUAGAAGCACAGACUGACUACAGAGUACUGCAAAUAAGAUAUCCAAAGCUUCAUCUUAAAUACCUGCCCCCUUUAAUCACAAAAUAACACAUUCUCAAUUUUGUUUCUGCUUUGUUCAAUUCCAACUAUAGCCUUUUUGACAAAACAUUUGCCUAUUAACUGAAUUGUAAAAAAUACAACCAAGCUUGUGCUCAUUAAAUAUACAUGUAUAUAAAAAACAUACAAAAAGUACAAGAUUGAUUAUGUUAGGAAACUUUUACAGUGUCAACAUCCUAUUUUUCUCUUAAAUCUUUAGUCAAGGGCCAAAGGUCAAAUCUUUCUGUGCACAAAAACUCAAUGUGACUGAACUCCUGACUUCAGGGUCAUGUCUAGGUGUGCUAUGCACAGAAUUAACCUUAAUAUCCAGUCCUUAAAAAAAAAAUAAAAGUAACAACAACAACAAAAACCCCAAAACACACCACAGGACAAAAAGUUCUUCUUAAAUCAAAUUCUAUUUGUGAAUUCAGCAAAAUAAUUUCUAUAAAAUAAAACAGCAAAAUAUUUAAAUAGAAUAGGGCGGACUGUAUCUGUUUGCAGGGGUAUUUGGUUUUUAGACAGGUUCCAAAAAAUUACACACAUUCAAGUUACCAAUUCUCUUUUAAAUACAGUAUUAACUGAUGAAUUUAUCAUCUUAAAUGUUUAUUCUGAUAUUGAUACCUCAAUUAUAUUAACCAGUUUUCUUUUUAAUUAGACCCUGCUUCAAACAUGAAAAUUUUUGGAAUAAUGGAGGAGCUAGGACAACUCUUGCUUUCAAGUAAAACUGUGACUGAGCGGCAGCUCAGCAAACAUCUUGGUGCAAUGGUAUUCCAAGUACUGUGGGUUUCUGAUGACCUCCGCUUCACUGGGAUCCAGCAGAAGGUGUAAGAAGGAAAAGCUCUGAGCAAUACAGCUGUCACACUGGGACAACUGCUGUCAUUAUGGUAAUUUUUUCCUCAUUGGCUACACUAACCUGGUGUGAAGCCAUGCUAAAUGUUACAGCAUAACUAUAGCUUCAAAGUGAUUAACCUAACAUCAGAAUAAAAAGGCAAUGAAAAAGAUCUAGAAACAAUG